rnacentral:lncRNA from 1 species
UCCAGAAUUAACUCCUACAGGAUGGUCCAUGAAUAAAAUGUAGUUGAAAAGCAGCAGAUGUCAUAAUGCAGGGCAUAUAACUUGCAGCAUGUGUUAUGGGGUGAGGGUGCAUGAAAUUGCAGGGUACUGGAAAUAUCAGCCUAAUAUGUGGUAAUGCUUACACAGAUUCUGGAAACUACACUGCAGCACCACUACAAUACUUUCCAACAUACAAAUACAAGUAUAAAUAGUAUCUCCAGAAAAUAGUGGCUUUUAUCCAUAAAUGUGUAAUAGAAACAAAAUAUGCCUCAAGGAUUUAUUAGGUGAAGAGUCACUUUUAUCCACAAAUACAACACAUACACACACAAAGUACUUCUCUGAGAAUAAGCACAAUUCUAUUUAUUGGACUGAAAAUAUGCUGUCCAAGUGCAGGUGUUCUGUAUCCACUGAAUAUAAUAAGUUCAUCACAUGAAAGUAUGCAACAGUCGGUCACAAACCAUCGGGCCCCUAGAACCGCUAACUAAACCAGCCAAGUAGAAUUUCAUCAGAUCCAAAUAAUUCUUUUUUCUUUAUGUGGACAGAGUUUCAGUUUUUCAACAAGUAGAACAAG